ensembl:lincRNA Gm29107 predicted gene 29107
GGAGGGAGGAGGGGAUAGGGGAUUUUUGGAGAGGAAACUUGGAAAGUUUGAAAUGUAAAUGAAGAAAACAUCUAAUUAAAAAAAAGGUUGUUAACAAGUUAUAAAAAAGUUGUAUGUUUAUUUACUGUCUGUUAUAUAAAUGCAAAUAUCAUUGUCAUUAUACAAGUAAACCUAAUUACUUUGAAACCUUUGUUCAAAUUUAUAGCUUUAUCUUCACAUAUUUGUAUAAUUACCGAUGCUGUAAACACUUUAAAAGAAUAUGAGUAAAUAUCAGUGUUCUAUUGGAAAAAUAAAAAAGCUUUAAUCAACUUAUUGUAAACUUAAUAAAAAUAGAAAUUUUGCCUAUUUCA